CAGUCGCCGCGGGAAUACGGAGGGUGCAAGCGUUAUCCGGAUUCACUGGGUUUAAAGGGUGCGUAGGCGGGCAGGUAAGUCAGUGGUGAAAUCUUCGAGCUUAACUCGGAAACUGCCGUUGAUACUAUCUGUCUUGAAUAACGUUGAGGUGAGCGGAAUAUGUCAUGUAGCGGUGAAAUGCUUAGAUAUGACAUAGAACACCGAUUGCGAAGGCAGCUCACUAAACGCUCAUUGACGCUGAGGCACGAAAGCGUGGGGAUCAAACAGGAUUAGAUACCCCCGUAGUCCCUGUCUCUUAUAC
rnacentral:rRNA from 1 species